GAGACAUUACCAGUCAGUACAAUCCAAUUCCAGUCAUUAAUUAAAAUAAAUAUUCACACUCAUCCUAGUUUUAAGAUGUUGUCCCUUUAAUGGGCCAUCGCGGUUCAAUAUGAACAGUAAAUUCAAUAUGGAACUAAUUUAGAAUCACUACGAAUUUUUAAUAAAUUUCAAAAUUCAUACUAUAUACCGUUGCCAACCAUAAUUUACUUAUUUCAUCAAUACUUUUACAACCUAAAUGACUCUCGUUAAACAUCCUAGGUACAUGCCAUUAUCAAUACUCAACAUACUUUACCUUAUUGAAUUCGGGAUUGGUCUGAGAUGCUGAUUCAACAGUCUAGCCUUAACUUAACCUGCGCACGGAAACAAACCGUACGCUGAGUAUACACCCAGUGGUAUUUCUAUAAUCUGAACACUUAAGCAAUUAUAAAACUUAUUAAUUUAUAUAUAUCGAACUAUUCAAACUCAAUGAGUAUUCAAACAUUCACUUUUCAACCAAUGUUUUGGUCUACUUUAAAUUUCAAAUCAUUUAUUAAUUUCAAUAGCAAUUAAUCAAUCAGUAAUGUUCAUUAACAAUUAGAACAAUUAUUUAUUCAGUAACAGUCAGUUAUUCGGCAACAAUCAAUUAUUCAAUAAUAACUAGUUAUUCAGUAUCGAUCAAUUGAUUGGCUAUCCAGUAACAGUCAAUUAUUUAGUAAAAUCAGAUAUUCAGUAGCAAUUAAGUUAUUCAGUGACAAUCAGUUAUUCAGUAAUGAUCAUUUAUUCAGUAAUAUCCAGUUAUUCAGUAACAGUCUAUUAUCCAGUAACGGUCAAUUAUUCAGUAACAGUAAAUUAUUCAGAAAUAAUCAGUUAUUUUAUACAUUUAUUUACCCCUAUUAACAUGACUCGGACUCAGACGGAUACACGGAUCCAACCAACACACCAAUACGGCACAUAGUGCCUCAUCGGCCGAAGUCGGAACAGUAACAGUAACAGUAGCAAUACGUGUAACACCCCUCGCCCGCAUUCGACGCCGGGACGGGGUUCGAGGUGCUACCUAACUUUUACUAACACUUCUAUACUAAACAGGGCCAUAAAAUCUCAAAUAAUUAAAAACGUUUCUUUUCACAUACAAUUUGUCCCAUAUACGGGCUUACGAGGCCCAAAACAUACAUCUGGAGUGGUUCGGGACCCAACCGAGAACUCAUGAAAAACUUAGAAAAUCUCUUGCAUCAAGGCUUCAUACGCCCGUGUGGGUAUAGAGCACACGCCCGUGUGCUAGGGACACGCCCGUGUCCCGAACCCGUGUCCAAAAACCUAGACAAAUACAAGGCUAUUUUCCAAGCCAUUUUGUCACACUCACAACAGAUGCACGCAUACUUAUACAAUAACAUACAGCAUGGCAAAAUUAGGUACUUAAACAUUCCUAACAUGGAAUGAUUAUGGCAAUUUCACAUGCAAUAGAUAUCAUAGAUUUUACUCACAUCUUUACCACAUUCAUGCUAUAAUCAUUAUAAACUCAUCACAUAAUACCAUAGCGCAUGCAUGCAUAAUUAAAAUGGAUUUACAACCCCAUAAUCAAAAUAGGCCAAGACAUAUGGCUAAAGCCAUAUCACAUACUCUAAUAUUUAAACUCCUAUACAUGCCAUAGGCUCAAAGUACUUGAAAUCACUACACCAAUAACAUUAGCUUGACAGUGUGAUAAUAUCUCCGACGAACUCCAACCCGAGCUAACCUGACAACCCUAGGAAACAUGGGAAAGAAGGGGGGGUAAGCUUUCGCUUAGUAAGUUCAUAUGAAAACAAGAAGCAACUCAUUAACUUGUUUUAUCAAUGUUUACAACAUAUUCUCAAGUUCACUACAAGCUGUCUUUCUGAGUAAUAGUAACUAAAUUAUUUAUAUCUGGAGCUAUAAAACUCCGAAUUAAGUUCCGUUCAUUUUCCAUGAAACUAGACUUAUUUUCCUUUCUUCUAUAAAAUUUUCAGAAUUUUUGGUUAAGCCAAAUAGUACAGUUUAUUCCUCAAAUUUACCCCUGAUUCACUGUCUGAUAGUUUCGACCCUUCUGUACUAAAGUUCAAUUAUCUCAUAGUACAAGACUCAAAUAAUGUUCUCGUCUAUUUCUCUUGAAACUAGACUCAUAUUUAUACUUAAUAUUUUUUUCUAGAAUUUUUGGUUGGGCCAAUUAGUACAGUUUAUUAGUUAAAGUCUCCCCUAUUUCAGGGUAUGACCACUUUGACCCCUGUGCACUACAAACAAAAUUUCUCCCUGUACAGAAUUUCAACGACUAUACCGUUUAUUUCCCCUAAAAUAGACUCAAUAAGGAAUCCAUGCAUGUAAUGUAUGACUCUUAAUAAUUUUUGUACAAUUUUUGGUGAAUUUCUAAAGUCAGAAUAGGGGAUCUCGAAUUCAUUCAGACCCUGUUUCACAAGAAUUCAAAUAUCACACAAUAUGGAAUUCUUUUUCUUCCCCUGUUUCUUUCAUGUGAAAAUACACUUAUUAAGCUUUAAUCCCAUAUUUUAUUCUGCCUCUAACUCAUUUUUAAAUAUUUUUAGUGUAUUUUCAAAGUUACACUACUGCAGUAACUCAAAUCUGUCAAGGCUAAAUUACUCAUUCAUGAUCAUUGUUCACAAAAUUAAUACAACAUCAUUUGUAUAAUCAUCACCGAGACAUUCAUAUCACAUUUUCAUUUACCAUCUUACCAUUUUGUUGUUAUGUCGAGUUUUCAACCCGAGGGUUAAGUACAUACCUGUUCAAAGUAUCCAUUUCACAACAUUUAUCAAUACGUCCCUUUCAUCUCGAGUAUUCCUCCAUUUGAGUAGAAUUUUACCCAUUGAACACAUCAGAAUAUAAUUCGGAUACAUAGAAAGUUUGCACAUAAGUGCCACGUAUGUAGCCAAGCUACCAUGUAACCCGCCUAUAAGUGAACUCGGACAGCAUCCAUAAGUGAACUCGGACUCAACUCAACGAGCUCGGAUGCCUAGUUACAUCUCACGAACUCGGACUCAACUCAACGAGUUCGAACAUUCGCAUCCAUAAGUGAACUCGGACUCAACUCAACGAGCUCGGAUGCCCAAAUAUUUCAGUGACAUGUCACUUGUAUCCUAAUCUAUUCCUAAGGUUCAACGGGACCUUUUUCCCAAUCAUGUGUCUCAACCAUCUUCUACGGAAUGCCGAUACCAAUACUCGGUAGUAUUUCACAUUUUCCAAGUAUAUCAUAUAAUUUGACAUAUUAUUAAACAAUUAUCACAAGUAUAAUAUCUCAUAAUAAUUAUCAUAUCAUUUAAAUAACAUCAAAACAUUUAAAAUAAUAACUAUGUUACCAACAUUUACAUAUGAACUUACCUCGAUACCACAAAGGUAAAAAAAGACGUAAUUAUCCCUUAAUCGAUUUCUUUUCGUUCUAGGUCCAAAUCUCAAUUUUUAUCAUCUAAAAUAUCACAUUCAACUUAUUAAAACAAUGUACUAAUCAAAUUAGUCCAUUGACACACUUGAGCAAUUUUUACAAUUUUGCCCCUAUAUUUUGCCAAAAUUACCAAAUUACCCCUAGGCUCGUAAAAUAAUUUUUAUCACAUUUCUUUACUCCUUGAGUCUAGAUGAACCAUUUUCAUAACUAUAGCAACUCAUAAUUUCAACUAUUUCACACAUUUACAACUCAUUUUACAACUUAGCAAUCUAGCUUUUUUUAAGGUAUUUUCAUGCAAUUUCUUUCACAAAAGUUGUUUAUUAGACAACUAGGACUCAUAAUCUUCCAUAAAAACACAGCAAACAACACAUUUACUCUCAUGGCAAAACCCUGGACUCUUCAUCAUUUUGCAAAAUAGACCCCUCAUAUGAAAGCUCAUGCUUUAGGGGUUCCAAAAAUGUAAAAAUCAUCAAGAAAGACAUUAAAAAUCACUUACUAGCAAGGGAUGUAAGUGGCUGAUAUUUCAGAGCUUCAAAACCCCUUUCUUUUCUGCCAUUUUCGGUGGAGGAGAAGAGAAAAAUGAUAGCUUUUUCUUUUUAAUUUGUUAAUAAUAAAAUUAGUCAAAAUUGGUGACCAACUUCACCUAAUUUUGACUUUUCAACAAUUUUUUUUGUCUCCCAUGGC
rnacentral:lncRNA from 1 species